rnacentral:miRNA from 2 species
UUUGGCAAUGGUAGAACUCACU